rnacentral:rRNA from 1 species
GAUGAACGCUGGCUACAGGCUUAACACAUGCAAGUCGAGGGGAAACGCCGGGGAAGCUUGCUUCCCCGGGCGUCGACCGGCGCACGGGUGAGUAACGCGUAUCCAACCUGCCUCUGACUGAGGGAUAACCCGUCGAAAGUCGGCCUAAUACCUCAUGGCAUCGUCUGCGGGCAUCCAACGACGAUUAAAGAUUUCAUCGGUCAGAGAUGGGGAUGCGUCUGAUUAGCUUGUUGGCGGGGUAACGGCCCACCAAGGCGACGAUCAGUAGGGGUUCUGAGAGGAAGGUCCCCCACAUUGGAACUGAGACACGGUCCAAACUCCUACGGGAGGCAGCAGUGAGGAAUAUUGGUCAAUGGGCGAGAGCCUGAACCAGCCAAGUAGCGUGCAGGAGGACGGCCCUAUGGGUUGUAAACUGCUUUUAUGCGGGGAUAAAGUGAGGGACGUGUCCUUCAUUGCAGGUACCGCAUGAAUAAGAACCGGCUAAUUCCGUG